UAAGCUCCUGCUUUGAGGCCACUGGAAGCAACAUCCAAGGAGCCACUGGUUGGGAAUCAAAUAUAUUCUCUAUCUUUUUUGAUCAUAUAUAUGAUAAUCUGGAAGCUUCAUAUCAUCUCAACCUUCUGAACCUGGCAGAGGAUGUGUAUGUGUAAUGUACCAUUUUCAGCUAGUCUAUAUUGAGCUGAGGGCUAUCCGGUGCAGAAUUAUUUACUCUGUUCAAAGGUACCACUCGCAGACAAAUAUAGCCAGCCAGGAAUUUCUUUGAUGACCCACAGUAUAUGACUUGUGUAAUGAAAGCAGAAUGUGUAUGUAUGAUGGCUGGGUGUCAGUCUGUGUGUUCUAUAUAUUGAUAUGGAUAAGUUGCACCCAUUUAAACAUACACAUAUAAGGCAAGGUACGACAUCCGCAAUUAUUCCAGAAUUAAUUUGCCAAUAGCAAAGGUAUUUUCCCCAAGUUUAAAGAGCUAAUAUAUUGGGUCAGAAUCGAGGCUUGAAGACCUGGGUUGGGGCUUGCCGCGACAUACUUGCAGUUUUCAUGACCACAUGCAAAUGCCAGGGCAUAAAGAAGUCUGUAUGUCUCAUUUAUAUUCUUUUCAUAUUCAUGUAACCCCCUCAAAAAGCACUGCUUUCCCAGAAUGAGGAAGAUGGAAACUCAAACAUCAACCAAACUGUUCAAAAAAUAGACAAAAAGGAGUUUGGGGAAUACAAAACUCUGGGUUGGGGAGGCAAUAGUGGGAGAAUAAAUGAGUAAUAGUAAUGAAAACUGGUGAGAAAAUUAUUUAUAUAUCGAAUGCAGGUGUAACCAUGGACCCUUAUUCCUUAUUUAGCCCCAAAUGUGGGUUCCUGUUUGGUUGUGUAGAGGGUAUUUUCAAAAUUAUGAUUUGUUUCUGCACUCCUAUCUCAUGUGUAUGUAUGCCAAUGUAUUAUAGUUCUGUAUUAUAUGUACUGUAGGUUCUGUAUUUGAAGAACAUCUGCUAACCGAUUCCUGAGGGAAGGUACCCGCUCUGUUCCUUGGAGUAUGAUUCAGACAUGUUUCACCAGAGUCAUUUAAAGGAAGAUGGCCUAUCUACAGUAUGGAUUUCCACCAUCCUCUUUUGGUCAGCACCGAAGCUUCUGAGCAGUUUCAGGCAUGUCACCAGCUCUGGGAAAUGUGCAGUAACCACUUGCAGGGAACCGAUGGCAGAAAACUUUUAGCUCAAGGAGAAUAAGGAACAAGAAGAAUGAAUCAAAUCAGUGCAUUACGGAGCCGACUGUGUCUGAAUAUAAAUGAAUAAAACACCACUUGUUUCUAUACUGAGUCUAUAUUGAGUCAAAUGAAGAAAAAAACAGGUAUAUUCUGCUUAAUAUACUGGAGUGAAUUUGAUAUUAAUUCUCUGUGUGUCUUUCUGUUGGCAGAUAAUAUUGAAACAGGGAACAUUCUAUUGCUUCUGUGCUCUCUAAUUGCUGUUUGAGCUUUUCUAUAAAAAACAACUCACCCCACUCACAAAUCCAUGUUUUACCAUUGGCCAUUUACAUGAUCUGUCCAAGUGAAACGAAUACGGCUCAUUUAUCAUGACUUGCUCCUUGCAACUUUCACCUACUGGUAAUAUACCAGUUCAACCAGCUUGGAAGAAUUGCAAGAGAGCCCUGGCAUGACGUCCUCCCUUAAUGCCCUUUGGGGGUUAUGUAAUAAAAGAGCGAAGUGGCCGUCCCUAGCGAAAAUUCACCAGAAAUACAAUCCACAGGGAUAUCGACAAUUUACAGGCGUAGAGGACAAUUUGCUAGCAAAGGCGCCCUAUCGCCAGGCGAA